GCUCAGGACGAACGCUGGCGGCGUGCCUAAUACAUGCAAGUCGAGCGGACAGAAAGGGAGCUUGCUCCCGGAUGUUAGCGGCGGACGGGUGAGUAACACGUGGGUAACCUGCCUGUAAGACUGGGAUAACUCCGGGAAACCGGAGCUAAUACCGGAUAGUUCCUUGAACCGCAUGGUUCAAGGAUGAAAGACGGUUUCGGCUGUCACUUACAGAUGGACCCGCGGCGCAUUUAGCUAGUUGGUGGGGUAAUGGCUCACCAAGGCGACGAUGCGUAGCCGACCUGAGAGGGUGAUCGGCCACACUGGGACUGAGACACGGCCCAGACUCCUACGGGAGGCAGCAGUAGGGAAUCUUCCGCAAUGGACGAAAGUCUGACGGAGCAACGCCGCGUGAGUGAUGAAGGUUUUCGGAUCGUAAAGCUCUGUUGUUAGGGAAGAACAAGUGCGAGAGUAACUGCUCGCACCUUGACGGUACCUAACCAGAAAGCCACGGCUAACUACGUGCCAGCAGCCGCGGUAAUACGUAGGUGGCAAGCGUUGUCCGGAAUUAUUGGGCGUAAAGGGCUCGCAGGCGGUUUCUUAAGUCUGAUGUGAAAGCCCCCGGCUCAACCGGGGAGGGUCAUUGGAAACUGGGAAACUUGAGUGCAGAAGAGGAGAGUGGAAUUCCACGUGUAGCGGUGAAAUGCGUAGAGAUGUGGAGGAACACCAGUGGCGAAGGCGACUCUCUGGUCUGUAACUGACGCUGAGGAGC
rnacentral:rRNA from 2 species